rnacentral:rRNA from 1 species
GACAGAGGGUGCGAACGUUGUUCGGAAUUACUGGGCGUAAAGCGCGCGUAGGCGGACCUGCAAGUCGGGGGUGAAAGCCCGAGGCUCAACCUCGGAACUGCCUUCGAUACUGCGGGUCUCGAGUCCGGGAGAGGUGAGUGGAAUUCCUAGUGUAGAGGUGAAAUUCGUAGAUAUUAGGAAGAACACCAGUGGCGAAGGCGGCUCACUGGCCCGGUACUGACGCUGAGGCGCGAAAGCGUGGGGAGCAAACAGG